rnacentral:tRNA from 1 species
GUGUCCUUAGUACAGUGGUUAGUACACAUCAUGAGCUGGAUGUAAGAGAUGCGGGUUCAACUCCCACAGGACACA